rnacentral:rRNA from 1 species
GAUGAACGCUGGCGGCGUGCCUAAUACAUGCAAGUCGAGCGAACAGACGAGGAGCUUGCUCCUCUGACGUUAGCGGCGGACGGGUGAGUAACACGUGGAAAACCUACCUAUAAGACUGGGAUAACUUCGGGAAACCGGAGCUAAUACCGGAUAAUAUAUUGAACCGCAUGGUUCAAUAGUGAAAGACGGUUUUGCUGUCACUUAUAGAUGGAUCCGCGCCGCAUUAGCUAGUUGGUAAGGUAACGGCUUACCAAGGCAACGAUGCGUAGCCGACCUGAGAGGGUGAUCGGCCACACUGGAACUGAGACACGGUCCAGACUCCUACGGGAGGCAGCAGUAGGGAAUGUUCCGCAAUGGGCGAAAGCCUGACGGAGCAACGCCGCGUGAGUGAUGAAGGUCUUCGGAUCGUAAAACUCUGUUAUUAGGGAAGAACAAAUGUGUAAGUAACUAUGCACGUCUUGACGGUACCUAAUCAGAAAGCCACGGCUAACUACGUG